rnacentral:tRNA from 1 species
GGGGCUGUAGCUCAGUGGCAGAGCACUUGCCUAGCAUGCAUGAGGACCUGGAUUCGAUCCUCAGCACCACA